rnacentral:rRNA from 1 species
UACGUAGGGGGCAAGCGUUGUCCGGAUUUAUUGGGCGUAAAGAGCGUGUAGGCGGCCAUACAGGUCAGCUGUGAAAACUCGAGGCUCAACCUCGAGACGUCGGUUGAAACCGUAUGGCUAGAGUCCGGAAGAGGGUAGUGGAAUUCCCGGUGUAGUGGUGAAAUGCGUAGAUAUCGGGAGGAACACCAGUGGCGAAGGCGACUACCUGGCCUGUUCUUGACGCUGAGGCGCGAAAGCUAGGGGAGCAAACGGG